AUUGAACGCUGGCGGCAAGCCUAACACAUGCAAGUCGAACGAGUGGCGGACGGGUGAGUAAUGUCUGGGAAACUGCCUGAUGGAGGGGGAUAACUACUGGAAACGGUAGCUAAUACCGCAUACCAUCGGAUGUGCCCAGAUGGGAUUAGCUAGUAGGUGGGGUAAAGGCUCACCUAGGCGACGAUCCCUAGCUGGUCUGAGAGGAUGACCAGCCAAAAUGGAACUGAGACACGGUCCGGACUCCUAAGGUAGGCAGCAGUGGGGAAGAUUGAACAAUGGGCGCAAGCAUGAUGCAGCCAUGCCGCGGGUAUGAAGAAGGCCGUCGGGUGGAAAAGUACUUUCAGCGGGGAGGCGUUACCCGCAGAAGAAGCACCGGAUAACUCCGUGCCAGCAGCCGCGGUAAUUC
rnacentral:rRNA from 1 species